rnacentral:rRNA from 1 species
AUUGAACGCUGGCGGCAGGCCUAACACAUGCAAGUCGAGCGGAUGAAGGGAGCUUGCUCCUGGAUUCAGCGGCGGACGGGUGAGUAAUGCCUAGGAAUCUGCCUGGUAGUGGGGGAUAACGUCCGGAAACGGGCGCUAAUACCGCAUACGUCCUGAGGGAAGAAAGUGGGGGAUCUUCGGACCUCACGCUAUCAGAUGAGCCUAGGUCGGAUUAGCUAGUUGGUGGGGUAAAGGCCUACCAAGGCGACGAUCCGUAACUGGUCUGAGAGGAUGAUCAGUCACACUGGAACUGAGACACGGUCCAGACUCCUACGGGAGGCAGCAGUGGGGAAUAUUGGACAAUGGGCGAAAGCCUGAUCCAGCCAUGCCGCGUGUGUGAAGAAGGUCUUCGGAUUGUAAAGCACUUUAAGUUGGGAGGAAGGGCAGUAAGUUAAUACCUUGCUGUUUUGACGUUACCAACAGAAUAAGCACCGGCUAACUUCGUG